rnacentral:rRNA from 1 species
CCUACGGGGGGCUGCAGUGGGGAAUAUUGGACAAUGGGCGAAAGCCUGAUCCAGCCAUGCCGCGUGUGUGAAGAAGGCCUUCGGGUUGUAAAGCACUUUCAGUGGGGAAGAAAGCCUUGGGGCUAAUACCCUCGAGGAAGGACAUCACCCACAGAAGAAGCACCGGCUAACUCCGUGCCAGCAGCCGCGGUAAUACGGAGGGUGCGAGCGUUAAUCGGAAUUACUGGGCGUAAAGCGCGCGUAGGCGGUCUGAUAAGCCGGUUGUGAAAGCCCCGGGCUCAACCUGGGAACGGCAUCCGGAACUGUCAGGCUAGAGUGCAGGAGAGGAAGGUAGAAUUCCCGGUGUAGCGGUGAAAUGCGUAGAGAUCGGGAGGAAUACCAGUGGCGAAGGCGGCCUUCUGGACUGACACUGACGCUGAGGUGCGAAAGCGUGGGUAGCAAACAGGAUUAGAUACCCGGGUAGUC